rnacentral:rRNA from 1 species
AUGUCUUCCUCCACCCAAGUUCCAUCCAUAGGCCUGUCCAGUACCACAUCCGAGCCUCUCACAAGAACGAACUACAUCCUAUGGAAAUCCCAAGCUCGCUCCCAAAUCAUGGGCGCCGGACUAUAUGGGUACCUAGACCAAACCACACCCGAGCCACCCAAAACCAUCAUCACCAAAAACUCAGAAGGAAAGGAACAGAUUGUUCCAAACCCUGCAUAUAACCCAUGGCUGAUUCAAGAUCAGCAGAUUGUAGCCUUUUUCCUUCGAAAUCUCUCAAAGGAGGUACUCAUCCAGGUUGCUUCUUUAGAAACUUCCCACGCCAUAUGGUCAGCCCUAGCAAAGAUGUUCACCGCACAAUCUCUCUCCCGUGUAAACAACUGCCGCAUAGCCCUAUCCAAUGCCCAGAAAGGUUCACAGAGUGCCACAACCUAUUUUGGUCAGAUGAGGGCCCUCUCUGAUGAACUAGCUGCGGCUGGGAAACCCAUCGGAGAAGGAGAACUUCUUUCCUUUAUCAUUGUAGGGCUCGACAUGGACUAUUAG